GGGCAAUUGAGCUUAGACAGGGUUGUAGCUGGCCUUCCGAGGCAUGUGCACGCCCUGCUCAUCCACUCUACACCUGUGCACUUACUGUGGGCUUCAGAUUGCGAGGCACGCUCUUUACCGGGCUUGCGGAGCAUAUCUGUGCCUGCGUUUAUCACAAACUCUAUAAAGUAACAGAAUGUGUAUUGCGAUGUAACACAUCUAUAUACAACUUUCAGCAACGGAUCUCUUGGCUCUCGCAUCGAUGAAGAACGCAGCGAAAUGCGAUAAGUAAUGUGAAUUGCAGAAUUCAGUGAAUCAUCGAAUCUUUGAACGCACCUUGCGCUCCUUGGUAUUCCGAGGAGCAUGCCUGUUUGAGUGUCAUGAAAUCUUCAACCUACAAGCUUUUGUGGUUUGUAGGCUUGGACUUGGAGGCUUGUCGGCCGUUAUCGGUCGGCUCCUCUUAAAUGCAUUAGCUUGGUUCCUUGCGGAUCGGCUCUCGGUGUGAUAAUGUCUACGCCGCGACCGUGAAGCGUUUGGCGAGCUUCUAACCGUCUUAUAAGACAGCUUUAUGACCUCUGACCUCAAAUCAGGUAGGACUACCCGCUGAACUUAAGCAUAUCAUAA
rnacentral:rRNA from 1 species